ACCUGGUUGAUUCUGCCAGUAGUCAUACGCUCGUCUCAAAGAUUAAGCCAUGCAUGUGCAAGUAUAAAUAUCAUACAUUGAAACUGCGAACGGCUCAUUAUAUCAGUUUUCGUUUAUUUGAUAGUCCCUUACUACUUGGAUAACCGUAGUAAUUCUAGAGCUAAUACAUGCGUCAACACUCUUCUGGAGUGGUAUUUAUUAGAUUGAAACCAACCCUUUCGAGGUGAUGUGGUGAUUCAUAAUAAGAUUGCGGAUCGCAUGCCUUUGGCGGCGAUGGAUCAUUCAAGAUUCUGCCCUAUCAACUUUGGACGGUACGCUAUUGGCCUACCGUGGUGAUGACGGGUAACGGGGGAUUAGGGUUUGAUUCCGGAGAGGGGGCCUGAGAGACGGCCACCACAUCCAAGGAAGGCAGCAGGCGCGUAAAUUACCCAAUUUCGACACGAAGAGGUAGUGACAAUAAAUAACAAUGCCGGGCCUUUCUAGGUCUGGCAAUUGGAAUGAGAACAAUUUAAAUCUCUUAUCGAGGAUCAAUUGGAGGGCAAGUCUGGUAAGUAACAGCAACAGC
rnacentral:rRNA from 13 species